AAAAAGAAAUAUCGAUUAAUAUUAAUACAUUAUAAGUUAUUGAAGCCAUCCUGUAUUUUUGAAGAUGUACAUAGACGUAUAUAUAAGUAAAAGUUUAAAAGAUUAAAACAUGUAUGUCUGUCUGUCUGUCUGUCUGUCUGUCUGUCUGUCUGUCUGUCUGUCUGUCUGUCUGUCUGUCUGUCUGUCUCUCUCUUAGGAGUGUAAGAAAUGACCAUUAUAAUUGGCAGAGACCGUUUUCCACAACAUGUCAGUAGUGUCAGGGGGAGCCCCAGAAUUAGUGUUCUGGGGGGAGCCCCAGAAUUAGGAGUUAUUUGUUUUAUUGUGUUGGACAGCACACGUGGAGGGGUGAUGAGGUGAUGGACACAGCCAGGCUCUGCUACGUAGACAGUACCCACAGGUGGGAGGUUUGUAUGCUGUCACCAGCCUGACACAGCUGACCUCCUUCAGCUCACCGGCUCAGGGAUUUGUACAGAUUCUCAAUGUGUCUGGCAAUCACUGGGUCACGGUAAGUAACAUAGGCUGUGAGGAAGGUACUUUAAAUGUGUUUGACUCUUUGGGAAUUAAUAAUAAGCAUGAUUUCCAUUCCCAGGUCGUAUCACUGCUGCAGUACAGUGGAAAGACAGUUGGGAUCGGGUGGCCACAUGUACAGCAGCAGCAGGGAUGGAGGGACUGUGGACUGUUUACCAUCGCAAACAGCCUCACACUCUGCAUGGGUGGAGAUCCAGGUAAGUUAUGUGAUGAUCAAAAGCAAAUGCGUGAUCAUCUUUUUUCUUGUUUUGUAGCUGGAUCUCUUCCUCCUUUCCCGAGCUGUGAGAGAACCCCCCUCCCAGAGGUACAUUUCUGUGAUGUGGAGACCAGACAGGAUUGCACUGGAGCUGAUGGUGGAAUGCAGGAGGUGUGGAGAAUGGUUCCAUGGCCAGUGCCAAGAUCUACAGCCAGAUGCCCUCAUCAGUAUGGAGGAGUGUAUGUGCUGCAUUUGCAGAGUUACACACACGGGUAAGCAUGGCCUGACAUGGACGGCUCACAGGAGAUCCAGUUGCUCUACUCUCUGUGCGAGUAGAGUUCACUUUACUUUCCUUGAGUAAACUUUCCUUUGUAAAGGGUUUUGGCUGGUAAACGGUUGAGCCGUCCAGUUGUAGUUAGGGUUUGGUUUGUUUAUUUUUGUUUUGUAUUUAAUAAAAGUACACAACAGUGCUACAAAGUA